GGUUGUUGGUUUUUUCUGCAAAUCUUGGAUCACAAAUAUUCGUCACAAUAGCUAGCUGGGAAAGGUUUUCGCGAUAAACAUAUAUAGUUGUCGGCAAAGAAUACCUAUGACGACAGCUGUUUGUUUCGUCGGCACAAAUUCAACCUUAGACGAGGGAGUUUUUUCCGGGUUAGUUAACUUUGGCCGACAAAAUAAAGUCCUCACAAGUAAUUCGCUAUUAUUGCUACGAAGUGGUUUAUCAAUAAUCACGUUAGGGCUCUGCAAAUCAUUGAAUAAAUUCAACAAUGACAAUCAUAGUUUACUUACCCAAAUCAGUUAAUGAAUUAACUUCUUCCUACAUGAUCAAUAAGACAUACUCAAAGACUUUUCAUUAAACCCAAAAAAACAUAUAACCAACUUACAUUUCAAUCAAUUGCAGUAUUUCUAUGUACAAACCAUUUUGCAGCGAGCUUAGUGCAGAACUU
rnacentral:lncRNA from 1 species